GUUCUCUGGUUCCUGGAGAACUGAAGCGAUCUUAGUCUGUAACAUUUACUGAGGAAAUAUUUAGUAACUUUUGACUUAAUCUGGAAAUGAACUGCAGUUUAGUGAAAUAUUGUAUAAAAUUCAUCUACUGACAAACUUACAGAGAAUUAUUAGGCAGAAGAAGAAGAAGAUAAAGAUUUGGUGAUAUUUAAUAAAACAAAAAUAAAUCAUUUCAAUAAGGAGAAUCUUCAAUGUAAUCUAACAUUUGAUUUCUCUGUCAGAGCAGCAGGUGAAACGGAUCAGCAGAACACUGAGGACUGAUGGACGACCCGUUUUAAAAUGUUCUGUGCCGUUCUUGGAUCUGAACCAAGCAUCAUCUUCCUCUGGGCACAAGAUAAUCAGUCCAGUUGUCAGCAAGACUUCAUCUCUGAGUGAAAUGAUUCUGCAUCAACAUCACAGUUCUUGUGUUUCAGACAAAGAGAAACUUCAUCAGGUUAAUAUUUAUGAACUUAUAUUCAGAAAUAUAAGUUAUGAAUAUACUUAUAUUCAUAGUUAUACACAGUUUUUGUAUAAUUGCAAAACAUUUUUCUCAAACAGUUUUUUUCAAACUGUGUUUGAGAAAAAUGUUUCUAGAGGAAGAAAGCAGCUGAAUCUGAAGAGGAGGAAGAGGAGGAAGAGGAGGAGCUGAUCUGUUCCUGAUCUCUAAAGAGACUCAAACUUCCUCCUUCAGUUCAGUUCAACUCUCCAACAUUAACUCUGCUCAACAUGGACUAUUAUGGUCUGUCUCUGCUCAUCAUCUCUCUGCUAACAGGAGUCAGAUGCCAACAACUCACUGCGCUUCAGAAAGAAGAGUUCGCUGUAGGAAGCAGCAAAGUUACUCUGUCCUACACUUACUCCAAAACAGCCACUGGAACUGAUUCUUUCUUCUGGUAUCGACAAUAUCCUGGAAAACCUCCAGAGUUCCUGAUCUCCCAUUUAGGAACAGGAACUAAACUCCAGGAUCCGGUUCCUGGUUUCUCCUUCAACGUGAAUGCUGAUAAAACCCAGAUGGAUCUGCUGAUCUCUGCUGCAGUGACAGACUCUGCUGUGUACUACUGCGCUGUGAAGCCCACAGUGACAGGAAACACCAGAACCCUGUACAAAAACCUGCAGUACUCCACAGCAGCCACUAGAGGGCCUCACUCCCUGUUAAUCCACUACAACCUGCAGUACUCCACAGCAGCCACUAGAGGGCCUCACUCCCUGUUAAACCACUAAAACCUGCAGUACUCCACAGCAGCCACUAGAGGGCCUCACUCCCUGUUAAUCUACUGGUUGUUGAGUCUUUAGACUGAAGACAAAGACAACAGAGACAUGAAGCAGUAAAGAUCAGACAGAGCUGCUGAGGAAGCAGAAAACGCUCUGAUUGGUUGAGUUGAAGUGGCCCCGCCCACUGACCUUCAGCUCAUCCAAUGACAUCAUUUCUUCCUCCUUCUGCUGCAGUGGAAGAACAUUGUUGAUCUGCAGUGUGGCUCUAAGGACUCCAAA